AGUGACGUAUUGUUGACAUAAAGAAGCAUUGUUCUUAUGUCGUUCUACGAUUUGCAGGACUUUCGGUAGUUUGUUAUUAAGGUAGUUUGCUAGUUAUUGUUUUUAUUUAACAAAAAUUAAUGGAUUCUUCAGAAGAAGAAGCCGAUUAUGAUAUUUUCAUCAAUAACAAAGAGGUACAACCUUACAUGUUUGAGCCUUUGGCCAACGCGCAAGGUGGUCAUUGUAAUGACAAUUCUUUGUCUUUGGAAGAUGAAUACAUUCACAGAACUGGAAAUGUUGAAUGGUGCGAGUGUUGCUUUUGUGUGGUCAUGAGUACAGGACGGGAAAGUAUAUGUUGCCAAGAGGUAAACAAUACUGACCUCUGAUACAUGGCGAUCAUAUUUGCAUCACACAAGAGGAAGAGUUUGCCACAGUGUGUACAAACGAAGCUGUCUUAAAAACAGCUAUGGUCGUGUACACACAUGACAUUGGACCUAUACCUGAGAGUGAAGAAAACGAAACAUUACGCUACACGGCGUACCGACAGUGGACGGCUUGGGUGCAUGGCAGGUUGGGAAAAAAGUACAGACUACCCAUACCUUCUUGUGCUGUGCACAAAAUCCGGAAAGCAUUUCCUUCGCCGUCUGGAGAUUACAAAGGAUUUGAAUAUGCUCAACACUACUGAAUGGUAGGGCUUAUGGCGUAUGACAAAAUCUGUUCAUUUGUAAUUAUGUUUAUUUCAUGUGGAACGUUAUUUCCAUUAUCUUUUUAUUUAUAAAAGCGACAUUUAUGUUGCUUAAUGGCUUCAGCUUUGCUGAUAUUUGAUUUGUGCCAAGUCUAUGGGACAGGUAUUUCUUUCACUCCAGCGACAUCAAGAGCUUUGGACAGUGUUGGAUUAAUGCGUCUGAAGUACAAAACUUCUUUCAUCAAGUCCUUAACAUAUCCUGAAAAGCAAAUCAUUAUUUAUGUUGGCUUUGCAUUGCACUUUGAGAAAAAAAAAAAUGAGUAUGUUUUGGUGCAAAAAGAAUUACCACUCGGUGGAAACCUUUGAUGGAUGAAGUCUGCUUUUGAUAACUGAGUUUUCGAUUAUCUUUCAUGAGAUACUUGGACUCAACAAUCGAAGACAGCUCAACAUAAGCUUUUGAACCUAAGAUCAGAAUCUCUAACAUAUCAUGUUCACAUUUUGGGAAUACAUCACUAUGUCCCUCAUGGAUGUCACAUAUAUGGUUGAGAAGUGACAACCACUUUGCCUUGACAAGUUCUUCAUCACCAUUGCUGGAAGCAGCACACCAGUAUACAUGGUUGGAAAUUGAUUGGGCCCAAUCUGACAAUAAUUUGCAACCACUUUUUUUGAUGCUGCCCAAAUUUUCUUUUUGAUUCCUGUUGGAUUUUGAUUAUUGAUGAAAUGUGUAAAAGAUUUGAUUUGAGCAUGUCUGUCUGUGGUCAUUGACUUCACCUUCAUCCCACUUUCAUCAAACUUUGCCAGACAUUAUUUUAAUCCCUCAAGUUCCAUUGCUCCAGAGUUGGACUCUUCAAUGGACUGUUUAACAUAAUUAUGUGAGUAUUCUAAUCAUGUUUAACAUACAGUUGUUGAAGAAUUGUUACCUGAACAAGUUGUGUGUCUAAAAUGUUGUUAGAUUCCAAAUCCAUGCAGCUAUAUGACCCAUACAUGGCACAAUAUCCAGGCAAAUCACAUCUUCCAUCUCUUCCAAGGUUGAUGUUCCUUUUAUUAAUUUAUUAUUAAAGCAGAAACAAAACAACAUAUAUUUAAUUAUUUAAGUUACAUAACGAGCAUUGUCCUAAACCAUGCGGUAUCGAGCAGAACAGAAGAUAACAAUUAGCAUACAAUAAGAAGUGCUUACCAGAUCAUGUGACUAGUACUAUGAUCAGAUAUCUUAUACUUAGUUUAAUACACAUAUAAUGUAUCGUCAUUCCUAACACCUUUCUCUGAUUGAUUCUAGAAGAUACUUUUGGUGCAUAUGCCAAACAUUUGAAA